rnacentral:rRNA from 1 species
GGACGACGCUGGCGGCGUGCCUAAUACAUGCAAGUAGAACGCUGAAGAGAGGAGCUUGCUCUUCUUGGAUGAGUUGCGAACGGGUGAGUAACGCGUAGGUAACCUGCCUUGUAGCGGGGGAUAACUAUUGGAAACGAUAGCUAAUACCGCAUAACAAUGGAUGACACAUGUCAUUUAUUUGAAAGGGGCAAUUGCUCCACUACAAGAUGGACCUGCGUUGUAUUAGCUAGUAGGUGAGGUAAUGGCUCACCUAGGCGACGAUACAUAGCCGACCUGAGAGGGUGAUCGGCCACACUGGGACUGAGACACGGCCCAGACUCCUACGGGAGGCAGCAGUAGGGAAUCUUCGGCAAUGGGGGCAACCCUGACCGAGCAACGCCGCGUGAGUGAAGAAGGUUUUCGGAUCGUAAAGCUCUGUUGUAAGUCAAGAACGGGUGUGAGAGUGGAAAGUUCACACUGUGACGGUAGCUUACCAGAAAGGGACGGCUAACUACGUGCCAGCAGCCGCGGUAAUACGUAGGUCCCGAGCGUUGUCCGGAUUUAUUGGGCGUAAAGCGAGCGCAGGCGGUUUGAUAAGUCUGAAGUUAAAGGCUGUGGCUCAACCAUAGUUCGCUUUGGAAACUGUCAAACUUGAGUGCAGAAGGGGAGAGUGGAAUUCCAUGUGUAGCGGUGAAAUGCGUAGAUAUAUGGAGGAACACCGGUGGCGAAAGCGGCUCUCUGGUCUGUAACUGACGCUGAGGCUCGAAAGCGUGGGGAGCGAACAGGAUUAGAUACCCUGGUAGUCCACGCCGUAAACGAUGAGUGCUAGGUGUUGGAUCCUUUCCGGGAUUCAGUGCCGCAGCUAACGCAUUAAGCACUCCGCCUGGGGAGUACGACCGCAAGGUUGAAACUCAAAGGAAUUGACGGGGGCCCGCACAAGCGGUGGAGCAUGUGGUUUAAUUCGAAGCAACGCGAAGAACCUUACCAGGUCUUGACAUCCCGAUGCUAUUUCUAGAGAUAGAAAGUUACUUCGGUACAUCGGUGACAGGUGGUGCAUGGUUGUCGUCAGCUCGUGUCGUGAGAUGUUGGGUUAAGUCCCGCAACGAGCGCAACCCCUAUUGUUAGUUGCCAUCAUUCAGUUGGGCACUCUAGCGAGACUGCCGGUAAUAAACCGGAGGAAGGUGGGGAUGACGUCAAAUCAUCAUGCCCCUUAUGACCUGGGCUACACACGUGCUACAAUGGUUGGUACAACGAGUUGCGAGUCGGUGACGGCGAGCUAAUCUCUUAAAGCCAAUCUCAGUUCGGAUUGUAGGCUGCAACUCGCCUACAUGAAGUCGGAAUCGCUAGUAAUCGCGGAUCAGCACGCCGCGGUGAAUACGUUCCCGGGCCUUGUACACACCGCCCGUCACACCACGAGAGUUUGUAACACCCGAAGUCGGUGAGGUAACCUUUUGGAGCCAGCCGCCUAAGGUGGGACAGAUGAUUGGGGUGAAGU